UACCUGGUUGAUCCUGCCAGUAGUCAUAUGCUUGUCUCAAAGAUUAAGCCAUGCAAGUCUAAGUACGAGCUCUCGUACAGUGAAACUGCGAAUGGCUCAUUAAAUCAGUUAUGGUUCAUUUGAUCGUACAGUUUACUUGGAUAACUGUGGUAAUUCUAGAGCUAAUACAUGCGAGAAGCGCCGACCUCGCGGGAGGCGUGCAUUUAUCAGACCAAAAACCGGCCGCGUCUUCGGGCGCGUUCGCCUUGGUGACUCUGGAUAACUUUGCGGAUCGCACGGUCUAGCACCGGCGACGGAUCAUUCAAGUGUCUGCCCUAUCAACUUUCGUCGGUACGGUAUUUGCCUACCGAGGUUCUUACGGGUGACGGGGAAUCAGGGUUCGAUUCCGGAGAGGGAGCCUGAGAAACGGCUACCACAUCCAAGGAAGGCAGCAGGCGCGCAAAUUACCCAUUCCCGACGCGGGGAGGUAGUGACGAAAAAUAACAAUGCAGGACUCGUUCGAGGCCCUGUAAUUGGAAUGAGUACACUUUAAAAGCUUUAACGAGUAUCCAUUGGAGGGCAAGUCUGGUGCCAGCAGCCGCGGUAAUUCCAGCUCCAAAAGUAUAUAUUUAAGUUGUUGCGGUUAAAAAGCUCGUAGUUGGAAUUUGGGCGCAGGCGGCCGGUCCGUCGCAAGGCGUGUACUGGACGUCCUGGCCUUCCCUC
rnacentral:ncRNA from 1 species